GGGGUCGUGGCUCAGUGGUAGAGUGCUCACCUCGCACAUGUGAGGCACUGGGUUCCAUCCUCAACACCACA
rnacentral:tRNA from 1 species